UUAUUUGAGAGUUUGAUCCUGGCUCAGGAUGAACGCUGGCGGCGUGCCUAACACAUGCAAGUUGAGCGAUUUACUUCGGUAAAGAGCGGCGGACGGGUGAGUAACGCGUGGGUAACCUACCCUGUACACACGGAUAACAUACCGAAAGGUAUGCUAAUACGGGAUAAUAUAUUUGAGAGGCAUCUCUUGAAUAUCAAAGGUGAGCCAGUACAGGAUGGACCCGCGUCUGAUUAGCUAGUUGGUAAGGUAACGGCUUACCAAGGCGACGAUCAGUAGCCGACCUGAGAGGGUGAUCGGCCACAUUGGAACUGAGACACGGUCCAAACUC
rnacentral:rRNA from 1 species